CCAGGGACGAAGCGCAAGUGACGGUACCUGGAGAAGAAGGACCGGCCAACUACGUGCCAGCAGCCGCGGUAAUACGUAGGGUCCGAGCGUUGUCCGGAAUUACUGGGCGUAAAGAGCUCGUAGGUGGGUUGUCGCGUUGUUCGUGAAAACUCACAGCUCAACUGUGGGCGUGCGGGCGAUACGGGCAGACUGGAGUACUGCAGGGGAGACUGGAAUUCCUGGUGUAGCGGUGGAAUGCGCAGAUAUCAGGAGGAA
rnacentral:rRNA from 1 species